AUUGAACGCUGGCGGCAGGCUUAACACAUGCAAGUCGAGCGGAGAUGAGGUGCUUGCACCUUAUCUUAGCGGCGGACGGGUGAGUAAUGCUUAGGAAUCUGCCUAUUAGUGGGGGACAACAUUCCGAAAGGAAUGCUAAUACCGCAUACGUCCUACGGGAGAAAGCAGGGGAUCUUCGGACCUUGCGCUAAUAGAUGAGCCUAAGUCGGAUUAGCUAGUUGGUGGGGUAAAGGCCUACCAAGGCGACGAUCUGUAGCGGGUCUGAGAGGAGGAUCCGCCACACUGGGACUGAGACACGGCCCAGACUCCUACGGGAGGUAGCAGUGGGGAAUAUUGGACAAUGGGGGGAACCCUGAUCCAGCCAUGCCGCGUGUGUGAAGAAGGCCUUAUGGUUGUAAAGCACUUUAAGCGAGGAGGAGGCUACUGAGACUAAUACUCUUGGAUAGUGGACGUUACUCGCAGAAUAAGCACCGGCUAACUCUGUGCCAGCAGCCGCCGUAA
rnacentral:rRNA from 1 species